GGAGGUGUAGCUCAGUGGUAGAGCAUUUGUCACCAUGUUCCAGGGCCUGGGUUUCAUCCCUAGCAUCACCA
rnacentral:tRNA from 1 species